rnacentral:rRNA from 1 species
CCUACGGGUGGCAGCAGUGAGGAAUAUUGGUCAAUGGACGAGAGUCUGAACCAGCCAAGUAGCGUGAAGGAUGACUGCCCUAUGGGUUGUAAACUUCUUUUAUAUGGGAAUAAAACGUUCCACGUGUGGGAUUUUGUAUGUACCAUAUGAAUAAGGAUCGGCUAACUCCGUGCCAGCAGCCGCGGUAAUACGGAGGAUCCGAGCGUUAUCCGGAUUUAUUGGGUUUAAAGGGAGCGUAGGUGGAUUGUUAAGUCAGUUGUGAAAGUUUGCGGCUCAACCGUAAAAUUGCAGUUGAAACUGGCAGUCUUGAGUACAGUAGAGGUGGGCGGAAUUCGUGGUGUAGCGGUGAAAUGCUUGGAUAUCACGAAGAACUCCGAUUGCGAAGGCAGUUCACUGGACUGCAACUGACACUGAGGCUCGAAAGUGUGGGUAUCAAACAGGAUUAGAUACCCCAGUAGUC